GACGAACGCUGGCGGCGUGCCUAAUACAUGCAAGUCGAGCGCUGAAGGUUGGUACUUGUUCCAACUGGAUGAGCAGCGAACGGGUGAGUAACGCGUGGGGAAUCUGCCUUUGAGCGGGGGACAACAUUUGGAAACGAAUGCUAAUACCGCAUAAAAACUUUAAACACAAGUUUUAAGUUUGAAAGAUGCAAUUGCAUCACUCAAAGAUGAUCCCGCGUUGUAUUAGCUAGUUGGUGAGGUAAAGGCCCACCAAGGCGAUGAUACAUAGCCGACCUGAGAGGGGGGUCGGCCACAUUGGGACUGGGGCACGGCCCAAACUCCUACGGGAGGCAGCAGUAGGGGAACUUCGGCAAUGGACGGAAGUCUGACCGGGCAACGCCGCGGGGGGGGAGGAGGGUUUCGGAUCGUAAAACUCUUUUGGUAGAGGAGAACGUUGGUGGGAGUGGAAAGCUCAUCAAGUGACGGUAACUACCCAGAAAGGGACGGCUAACUACGUG
rnacentral:rRNA from 1 species